AACGCAGAGAGCGGGAUCGGCGCUGUCCUCGCGACCGGGGGGCGGGGAAAGAAGGCAGGGGGCGGGGCCCACGGGGAGGCCUGCGUCAGGAGGCGCCUCCUUCCGGGGCUCUGAGAUCGUCUGCUGCGAAACAAGCCCUUAGCCGAGGGAUACGUGGAGGGGAGAUGUUCACCUUCACAUCGCCCUCGUCCCCUUGAUCCACGCUGAAACAGAGACUUAAGAGGCCUCCUACUGCUACCACAUUGUGAUUUACUUCUGAGUAAGCCUACAUAAGGUUGUGCUGCAUGACUUUCUAGAUGUGUCUGAGGAUAUUAGUUCUGCUAAAAAACUAAGAAAAGGCACAAGAAGCAAAUGCUUGUAUUCAACAACUCACAAAGCAAAAUGUACUACUCCCUGUGCAACAGCUGCAAUCAUAACCCCUUUUACCUGGGGGUAAACCCCAUUGAAUUCAAUAGGAGUUUCUCUGAGUAGACAAAGUUAGGAUUGCAUUAAGACUAGGCUCUCUUUAGGCUUGCUUUUCCCAUCUUUUCCCAUCUAUUCCUCUUAGCUCUCAGAGUCACUGACAGCUCUGCCAUGAUAUCAUCAGGAGCUAUGCAUCAUAAUUACAACACAAAUAUAAUUAAGGACAGGUACUUAAUGAAGGUCCUGCAUCACCUGCUUGUGCAACAAUAUGUUGUACAUGUAGGUGUCUGAGUUUCAUAAGGCCCUCUCGUUUCUAAUCAGUUUUGCAGCACCAGAUUUAGGGUGGUGUGGGUGAUUCACCCUGCACAGGGCACUAAGCUGAGGGGGAGAAAAAUUGAGAAGAUCCAUAACUGAGAAGAUCCAUUUUGAAUGGCACCAAAUUUUGUCCGCACCCAAGGCACCACGUUACAACAGAUUACCAAACUCUGUCCCUGAGUUUUGCCUCAAUCUGGUUUCUGAGUUUAGCAUAUAUUAGCAUUGUUGCCUAAAUGCUAGCCUGACAAACAUUCAUUCAGAGUUACAGCAGCACAUCCUAGCAUUGCAGCAUGUUCUCAAAUACCAUAGCAAACAUUUAAAUUACAGAAGUACUUUACAUAUCUUGUAAAAUAAAUUUUGGAAUAUGGAGUCAAUUUUUCUACAAAUGAGUUCAAAAAGCUUUUCCUCACCAUGGUUACUAGCUUUCUAUAUAUUUGGCACACAGUUAGAUCUAGCUGCAACAUUACCAAGACUGGAAACCAACUAUCAUAGGUACAUCUUCCUGGCAGUUAAGUCCCAGUGAACUGUACUUCUGAGUAGACAUGCAUUGACUUACACCGUUAGAAAUGGAAUCUAGAGCAGGGCAAAUACUGUAAGCAGGUAAGAAUUUAUUCCCAUCAUAGGCACUGGCUUUAAGGAGCCAAGGCUCUUUGCACCACCUCAGGUUUUUUUUGAGGGGGCAGGUUCCCCAUUAUUGAGAUUGGGUACAGAGCUGGGCAUGGAGUGACAUCAGGACUUCUUUUCCAGGCCAGGGCCUCACCUGGGGUAGAAGUAGUUAAGAAUGGAAAAAGGGUGCUGGAACCAAAUCCUUAACCCAUCACUGGAAACCAUAAACACCAACAACUGGGAAACACUGGCCUGCAAGCACUCCAACUGGAGAACAGCCUUUACCAAAGGUGUCAUGGGCUUUGAAGACACUCGAACUCAGGACGAAAGGGAGAAACAUGCUAAGAGGAAGGCACACUUGGCAAACCCUCACAGUGAUCAACUCCCGCCUGGAAACUUAUGUCCCCGCUGUGGAAGGACGUGUGGAUCCAGAAUUGGCCUCCACAGUCACUUACGGACUCACUGUUAAAACCGUGUUUAUGAGUUAAUGACACCUCGUGUGAAUUGAUUUGGGAGGC